GAACGGUAUCUCGUUGUACGUGCUGGUAGCAUGUUGAUCAACAGUGCAGUGUUAAUGUUAUUUAUAAUUAUCGUCAGACGUGUGAUAUAUGCACUUAUUUGAGCGUAGUCGGGAAACGGAUGGGACACUGAGUAAUUUUCCGUGUUUUCUUAUGUUUUCUUAUGCCGCUGUUCGGCAGUUGGUAUGCGUGCCAACGUCAAGUGAGGACGAAGACAGGAGCACGUACCUCGGGGAUGCGGUUGCGCCGGAAGUGGGCCCAUCUCGAUGCAGACGGCUUCGGUGUGGAGAGACGAGGGUCCGCUGGCGGUGGUGGACACCUUGGCGCAGGCGUAGUUGAAGUACUGCGAGGGAUCCUCCGGGGACAGGCCCCCGGCGUCCGCCAGGACGGAGUGCUCCACCGUGUCGAUGUGGUCGCUGGAGGGGUGCAGCAGCAACGCCUGCAGGGACACAUAUAUAAUACAGCGGGUGGACGUCCAACGCAUAUAUGUACCUCGCUGGCGUCCACAUGAUCGGCGGCCCGGUCAUGAUGAAUGUGCCCGGACAGGCUGUCCAGCGGCCGUCGGGCCACCACCACCGGGACGGCGUCCAUCUCCGAAUCCGAUGAUUGCAGUGGUGUACGCAAGUUCCGUUGGUAUCGGGAGUACAACAAACCGGUUAAUACCAGGAUAAACGAUGUAACUUCUGCUAACUGAAUGGAAGAUUGGCACGCUCUCCUUCCUCCAAAUCAAAAUAUGGGAGCUGCAAAGAACAGGCACGCAGACGAACACGAAAAUUAAUACCAUCCCCGCUUCGGAACGUUUCUUGCGCAAAGCUGUGAGAAGGAGGAGAGCCGCAUAUAUAAACAGAUACCGUACCUUAAUAUACCAGCGUCUUUAUCCAGCGUGUUGGGGAGUAUUGAAUGUCCCGUUAAAAGAAAAUAUUGUUAUUUGCGCAACGUUGUGCCGUUGCGCUGUCUUACGCUUAGAGUUUCGCACGUUUUAAAAUGCAAGUACCGUGUGCUGCGCUGUACAUGGUGCUACGUAUACCGUGUAUGCCUUGAUGAUGCUGAUUGCUGUGUUUUCCAUCCGAUCAUGUGCUGCGCCAACCAGUGUAAACACGUCUGUCGUGCCGCAGCGGUCUUGUUGAGCACUACAACGAUAGCUGAUAUGAAUCGCUGUGUUGAACGGAACGGGUUCCGCCGGUUAUUAGCUUGCCAUUUUCCCUCGUAGCGCGACACACCACUGCAUUUCAAAAGAUGGAUUGUAUUGCUUGUGAUAUGUAUAGCGUCAGCUUCUUGUUAUUCACGGCCGGAAGCUUAUUAAACGCCACAGCCGGCAUUCAUAAU